rnacentral:ncRNA from 1 species
GUCGGAGACGGAUGAUCGUCUUCCCCGGACGAGAUGCGCCGUACCCGGUCCGCAAAGACGACGCUCG